AGGACGAACGCUGGCGGCGUGCCUAAGCUUAUGCAAGUCGAACGCGAACGGCUCCUUCGGGAGCCUAGUAGAGUGGCAAACGGGUGAGUAACGCGUGGGUAACGUACCCUGAUCCUGGGAAUAACCCUCGGAAACGAGGGCUAAUACCGAAUGUGGCGAACGACCGGUUGGUCGCUCGCUAAAGGUGGCCUCUUCUAUGCUGCCGGGUUGGGAUCGGCCCGCGUCCCAUUAGCUAGUUGGUGAGGUAACGGCUCACCAAGGCCACGAUGGGUAGCCGGCCUGAGAGGGUGUACGGCCACACUGGCACUGAGACAAGGGCCAGUCCCCUAUGGGAGGCGCAGGCGGGAAUAGUUCACAAUGGGCGAAAGCCUGAUGACGCGACGCCGCGUGAGCGAAGAAGACCUUCGGGUUGUAAAGCUCUGUCAGGAGGGAAGAAGGCUCUACGGGUUAAUAGCCCGUGGAAUUGACGGUACCUCCAGAGGAAGCCCCGGCUAAAUACGUGCCAGCAGCCGCGGUAAUACGUAUGGGGCAAGCGUUGUCCGGAUUUACUGGGCGUAAAGGGCGCGUAGGCGGUUUGUUAAGUCGAAGGUGAAAUCCUCGGGCUCAACUCGAGAAUUGCCUUCGAUACUGGCAAACUAGAGUGGCGGAGAGGAAAGCGGAACUCUUGGUGUAACGGUGGAAUGUGUAGAUCUCAAGAGGAACACCGGUGGCGAAGGCGGCUUUCUGGACGCACACUGACGCUCAGGCGCGAAAGCGUGGGUAGCAAACAG
rnacentral:rRNA from 1 species